rnacentral:rRNA from 1 species
UGCGCGGAAGAUGUAACGGGGCUAAACCAUGCACCGAAGCUGCGGCAGCGACACUAUGUGUUGUUGGGUAGGGGAGCGUUCUGUAAGCCUGCGAAGGUGACCUGUGAGGGUUGCUGGAGGUAUCAGAAGUGCGAAUGCUGACAUAAGUAACGAUAAAGCGGGUGAAAAGCCCGCUCGCCGGAAGACCAAGGGUUCCUGUCCAACGUUAAUCGGGGCAGGGUGAGUCGACCCCUAAGGCGAGGCCGAAAGGCGUAGUCGAUGGGAAACAGGUUAAUAUUCCUGUACUUGGUGUUACUGCGAAGGGGGGACGGAGAAGGCUAUGUUAGCCGGGCGACGGUUGUCCCGGUUUAAGCAUGUAGGCUGAUUGUCCAGGCAAAUCCGGAUAAUCAAGGCUGAGGUGUGAUGACGAGGCACUACGGUGCUGAAGUAACAAAUGCCCUGCUUCCAGGAAAAGCCUCUAAGCAUCAGGUAACAU